AUUUUCUCCUUAACCCGUGCAUCCAACAUGUGGCACUGAGUCAUUAAAACCUUCAGUGCCACUUGUUUGUUGCAAUGGUCAAGGGUGAUAAU
rnacentral:pre_miRNA from 1 species